rnacentral:rRNA from 1 species
GACGUAGGGCGCGAGCGUUGUCCGGAUUUAUUGGGCGUAAAGAGCUCGUAGGCGGCUUGUUGCGUCGACUGUGAAAACCCGCGGCUUAACCGCGGGCUUGCAGUUGAUACGGGCAGGCUAGAGUACUGCAGGGGAGACUGGAAUUCCUGGUGUAGCGGUGGAAUGCGCAGAUAUCAGGAGGAACACCGGUGGCGAAGGCGGGUCUCUGGGCAGUAACUGACGCUGAGGAGCGAAAGCGUGGGGAGCGAACAGG